rnacentral:lncRNA from 1 species
UUCAUUUGUUCUUUCUUCAUCUAAAAGAGAGAACAUAGCAUUCAGGAAAGGCACAAUAUAUACGAAUGUAAAAGAUUAAAGUGUGCAUUGAUAAAAUAUUAAGGACCCUGCUAUAGUUUGGAAUAAAAAAGGAGGGACACAAAACCACAGGAGCUUGAUCUUAGUCAUCUUACCACAUAAAAUGUAGAAAUGGUAGCUAAAUCGUUUAAGAUGCAUUUUAAGAAAGAAUGCUAACAUAGAGUUGUUUGAUGUCCUUUUCCUACCCCUACAUUGAUGCGAAGAAGCAUAUGCCAGAAGCUGUGACUGCAGAAAGGUUAAUCUCCUAAAUCGAGCAGAAGAGUUAUAAAAAAUCUUAAAAGUGAGACACAAAUAGAUCCAUAUUUUGUGAGAACUGUGAGACUAGAAACCAAACCAAAUCCAUCUUCCUAAAUG